GGCUCGGACCAGGGUGCUUCAGGUGGAAGGUUACAGGGUUUGAAGCUGGCUACACAAAGUGCCCUGUUCCUAUCACCCUCCUAAUUAGUGAGUCUGUCUGGACCUCCCUGCUCACAAUCAGCUCCUCCACCUGCCCAGCUGGCCAAAGCCACCACCUGCCCUCACUUCUCCAAGCAGGCUGUUUUUCAUUCACAGCCCUGAAGUCUCCCUUCCAUCCGUCCAGGGAUGGAAAUGUUCAGAUGCAGAACCAGCACUUCUACCCCCCUCCUUCAGAGAAGACACUGAGGAACUGCCAUCAGCUUGCUUGUGUUUGCAGCAUGCCUUCCAGGAUACCCAUAGCUUGAUUCACAUUAUCACUGAAAAGGCAGAACAGCUUCCCAGAGCCUGUAUUAGGAUCACUUUUAUGCAGACUGCAGGUGUGCUAUGAACUCAGUGUUGAAGCUCUCCCUCUACUCACUGGAGAAACAAAGGCAAGCACCAAGCACCAGGCAGACUUCUACAGAAGCAAGCUCUGACAUGGAGCAGGUGAAUUAUCUUUUCACUGUCUCUUGUCUGUAUAAUCUUGUCAUGACACUUAACCUUCAGACAGUUAAAAUUUGCUGAAAGGAAUCCUGUGCCAGGUCUUCCCUUUGGUUAAAUCCUUUAU